rnacentral:antisense_RNA from 1 species
GAUUGCCGUCGUAGUCCGUGUAAGAUUGUGAAGAUAGAACCUUUCCGACUUUAAUGAUGAGUGGAAGGAUUCAAUCGGGGCAUUAUCAGCUG